rnacentral:rRNA from 1 species
GGCCUGGCCGGGCGGUCUGCCUAACGGCAUGUACUGUCUGGGUGGGUCUUACCUCUUGGUGAGCCAGCGUGCCCUUUGUUGGCGUGCGUUGGGGAACCAGGACCUUUACCUUGAGAAAAUUAGAGUGUUCAAAGCAGGCCUAUGCCUGAAUACAUUAGCAUGGAAUAAUAAAAUAGGACG